AUGAUGGUCCCAUGUUGCAGCGUCGAGGAUAUCAUCAACGACACUUCCGUCAUGGAGAAGAUGGCCAAAGACGGCGGUCCACUGAACGAACCUCUACUCCUACUUCCCGGGGUCGCCGUGUUGGCCGCUCUAAGAAGAGACUCAAGUGGUCAUGUGGUGAUACUUUCCAUCCUUUAUGUCCCAACUAACAAAAAAGAAUUUACGUUCCUGUAUAGCACUGGCUUUAACAGCACAGCUACAAGAUUACCGAUAUGGCCACUGGAACAGACAACACAACAUUGUUCAAGCAUGGAUAAUCAUUGA
rnacentral:rRNA from 1 species